rnacentral:misc_RNA from 1 species
ACCACACUCUGUAACAAAACCAACUGCAACUUCAACACUAUCAUCUGUAGGUUUCUCCAACAAAACUGUAAGUAGUUCGAGAGCAAUAAGCUCGUGAACAAUUUGCUGGUUUACAAGGUGAGCAAUAAACUUGACAGCUGCUAACAGCUGAGGCUUAUCAUUACGUUUAUAAGCUCUUUGCAGCUGCAGUAUGAUCCUUCUUAGCAACAGAUCACCCACUUCUGGGAACUUGGUGUUAACAACUGCUACCAAAGCAGCAAAUACAUCAGUAAAACCGGGAGAAGCCAUUUGGGACUUCAUACAGGAUCUACAGAACAGCCCUCUCCCACGGAUCAAAUUCUCUGCAAACAACUCUGGAAUAAUGUUUUUGAGGUUUGCUGCAUUAACUUUAUUCACCAGCCCAUUGAUACUUUUCCUCAGAGCAUCCCAAGUCAUCCUCUGGUACUCAACACUGCUUUUGUCCUGAACAUCCUUCAUCAUUCUAGCCAAUUUGAAUGGCGGAAUGUAAACACCCCCACUCCUUCCCAACUUUGCUAAGUCAGUAGGCAAAUUAGCAUCUUGCUUUUGCACUUUGGAAUCCUCAUUGGCUUUAAAAGUCCCAUCCUCUUGUGCAUUAUCUUUCCUAUUGUUCUCCUUUCCAUGCUUAUCAUCUCCAUCCCUUUGCCUUAUAUCCUUUCUAUUAUUGUCAUCACCAUCAACCCUCUUUUC